CACGCCCACAUCUCGAAAUCCAAUGAAAAACUAAUGCACAGAACCAAGACCUCACCCUACAUUUUCACUUGCAUGUGCAUCACAAUAUGGAAAAGAUCUGUCACUUCCAGUUCUAUGCUACUUUUUUGGACGUUCAGUGUAUGGUGAAAUGCCUUGAUCCACUGAGUAGUAGUUUAGUUGUAAAAGGACAGUUAAACAUCUACAGCUGGAUUCCAACAGCGCCCUGGAAUGGACACUCUUCUUGUGUCUCCUAAUGAGCAAAUAUCCACCUCUGACCUGCCUGUCACUGUGAGACCAGUCUGCAGGCCUGGAUACCCAGAUAAGCAGACAGGUCCAUUCUUCUAUUUUAGAACCAAGUGGAGGUUUGGUAGACGGACUGGUAUUUCCUGCUAUUGUCUGAAAGACGUGUCAGUGUGGACACAUGCAAUGGACUCAUGAAGGACAGUGGCACACUAGUCCCCUCUUAUUUUGAGUGGUUUAUAGCAACUGGUCUUUCCUUGCCUACUAAGAUCUUUCAGUUUUUCUUCAGUUUAAGCUGUUAAAUGUAUUUUUAUUUCACAUUUAAUGGAUUAUGUGAGUGGCGUGCAACAGUUUACAGUGUGUGGGUACCGCUGGCACUCACUGUUUCUUUCUUUAUUUGUUUAUAUGCCUAAGACCAGGCAGCAGAGCGUUAAUUAGAAGUGGAAUGUGGGAAUUUCAUCAAACAAUUCCUCCCGUCACGAGGUGGCAACUCACACAUACAUAAAAUGAAUAGGGAGUUUUGUUUUCCAUUGUGUUGUCAAGUUGUUGGUGACUUGUUUAAGUUACUCGUCCAAAGCAUUGUGGUAUUAUUGACCAGAUCUUUUUCCUUGAUCAGUUGCUAACAGUGUGCUCUUCUUCAAUAAAUGUGUGUCUCUGCAGGAACAAAGGAAAAGUGGGAACUGUACCAUGUUUAAGGGAGUGCUGAAGAAAGGGCGAGAGGGAGGAGGUAGAACUGGCAAAAGAGACGCAGGAAGUCAAUCCCUCAGCCCCAGUUUCCAUCACAGAGUUCAGGAAGAGGAGAUUGUGGGUGUUCAGAAUCAUGGGAGUGGGCCGCUGCCAGUACAGCCGUACCCUGCAGAGGAGAUGCUGAGGCCGAGUUUGACCAGAGGAGUGUCUGUCUCCCUCCCUUCCUCCCCGCUUCUCCCUCCCCGCCAACCCUAUCUUUCUCCUGUCCGGUCCAACAAGUCACCAGGUACAUAACAGUCACUUUUUAAAUGUACUUACUAGGAGUGUGCGAUAUUGACAGUUUGAAUAAAUGCUGAACUCAUUCAUACA
ensembl:lncRNA